rnacentral:lncRNA from 1 species
CCAGCACUUUGCCAAAACUAAGGAUGUCAGAGGGACCUGUUUCUAGAGUGAGUCCCAAUUACAUCAAAGGGCAACUUACAGCUUUCUCCAGUAAGUCUGAGUGGUUCUCUUGAGCUGGUGUCACUUUCUAACCUUUGCCAGUCUAGCCCCAGCAGGGCACCGUGUGUGUGAGUGUGGUUUGGUGCUGUUUUGGAGUGUGCCUGCCCCCCAGCCUGGAACCCUCUGAUCAACUUGCUGGGACCUAUAACGUCUUAGGUGCAACAAGGACCCUACCAGAGCUCCUGGGUGGCUUUCAAGAUCCACAUAGCUUUGUGUGAGGGGACUGAAUGCAGACAAACCACAGCCUGCUUCAAAUACCUUCUUUCCCUACCACCUAGUUCCAAAUGGAACCAACAAGUUGAGUGCAUCUCUGUUGGGUGUUUUGUGUUGAGACUGGCUGAAGUGAAAACUCUUUGACUGACCAUGUUGUGAUGUGUCGACAGACUCAAGGACACAACCACCUCGACCUGGUCAUGUGGCAUGCCUGUGUAUGUGUGUAACAGGAUUCUGAAUGUUAGGUUGUAAUGCUAUUCCUGUAUGGGAGAAAAAAAUAAUAUAAACAAAUAAAAAUCUAUUUAAAG